rnacentral:misc_RNA from 1 species
UCUAUUUGCUGGAUGUGGUCGCGGCCCCCGCACUCCGGGUGGUAGGGGUAACACCUUCACGCGCCACAUGCACUAAUCCUCUUUUUACGAGCACCUUCUGUUCUCCUUCGGCGGGGCAACCUGCCGUCGGAACCAACAAAACCUUUUUGAAUUCAGUAUUACCCGUUCUGAUACAAACAAUCGUAA